rnacentral:rRNA from 1 species
AGCAGCCGCGGUAAUUCCAGCUCCAAUAGCGUAUAUUAAAGUUGUUGCAGUUAAAAAGCUCGUAGUUGAAUUUCGGGAUCAAUUUAUUGGUCGUGCUAUUGUACGUACUGGUAUUAUUGAUUCCUACCUUCUGACGAACCAUGAUGUCAUUAAUUUGGUGUCAUGGGGAAUCAGGACUGUUACUUUGAAAAAUUAGAGUGUUUAAAGCAGGCUCACGCUUGAAUACAUUAGCAUGGAAUAACGAAAUAGGACGUUUGAUUCUAUUUUGUUGGUUUCUAGGAUCGACGUAAUGAUUAAUAGGGAUAGUUGGGGCAUUAGUAUUCAAUUGUCAGAGGUGAAAUUCUUGGAUUUAUUGAAGACUAACUACUGCGAAAGCAUUUGCCAAGGAUGUUUUCAUUAAU